rnacentral:tRNA from 1 species
ACCUGAGUGACUCAGUUGGUUAGGUGUCUGACUUUGGCUCAGGUCACGAUCUCAUGAUUCGUGGGUUCAAGCCCCACAUCAGGCU